rnacentral:rRNA from 1 species
AUUGAACGCUGGCGGCAGGCUUAACACAUGCAAGUCGAGCGGGGGAGGUUGCUUCGGUAACUGACCUAGCGGCGGACGGGUGAGUAAUGCUUAGGAAUCUGCCUAUUAGUGGGGGACAACAUUCCGAAAGGGAUGCUAAUACCGCAUACGCCCUACGGGGGAAAGCAGGGGAUCUUCGGACCUUGCGCUAAUAGAUGAGCCUAAGGCGGAUUAGCUAGUUGGUGGGGUAAAGGCCUACCAAGGCGACGAUCUGUAGCGGGUCUGAGAGGAUGAUCCGCCACACUGGGACUGAGACACGGCCCAGGCUCCUACGGGAGGCAGCAGUGGGGAAUAUUGGACAAUGGGCGGAAGCCUGAUCCAGCCAUGCCGCGUGUGUGAAGAAGGCCUUUUGGUUGUAAAGCACUUUAAGCGAGGAGGAGGCUCUUAAGGUUAAUACCCUUGAUGAGUGGACGUUACUCGCAGAAUAAGCACCGGCUAACUCUGUGCCAGCCGCCGCAGUAAAAC